GUUUACCCAAAUUCACUAUUUCCGUUGAUAGUUUCCUCUCCCCACCCCCAUCUCUUUUAAAAGCCUGGGUCUUCAGCUCAGCUUUCUCUGGCUUUCCUUUUACACCUGAACAUCCCUCAGUCCCAGAGAGAAUCCAAGUCCUGUGGGAUCACCAUCAGCCUGCAGGUUCAGCUAGAACUCGCCCCUGCUUAGCCAAGUCUUCUGGAUCCAUCUCUGACUACUUGGUCUGCCGCCACCACUCACAGAGUACCAAAACAACACCUGCUAACUGCCUUCCCAUGAUGUGGUCAUCAGUUAGCUAUUUACCAACAUAACUCUCUCAGGCACUAAGUUGGAGUGAUUUACCGAAAACUUCAGCUGCAGCGAGAUAUCGGAACGCCACCCAGCUUCAACCCAGUUCCUCGUGUAAAGAGCUAGCACCAGAUUAAAAGCAAGCACAGGCACCACGCCUAUAAAGCGGUGAAAGGCACACAGGAAAACCAAGUUCAGAUGCACAGGAAAACAGAUCUUCAGGUGAAUGGGUCACAAACCCCACAUUCUGUAUUGGAGUGCAGCUGUGUCGCCCAGAGAAGAAAGCAAGUGCAAUUAACUGCAGCUCGUUCUAGCACCGAAAGGCGAGAUAAAGUAUGGGUAUUCCUCCGGUGCAUGAACUUGUUUCUGAGAUAGGGUCUCAUGGAGCCUUUUCUGGUCUCAGAAUCAUUGCGUAGGUGAUGCCAGGCUUGAACUUCUGACUCUCAUGCCUCUCUAUCCCAAGUACGCCAACCCCUCCAGACACCCCUCCUAAACUGCUCCACCUCUUGGGCUCUCGUGUUUUCUGUUGUCCCCUCUCUCUUGCUCCUCUCUCUUGGCCUCCUUUGUGUGCACUCUGUCUUCUCUUGCUCUCUGCCAUCCCUUCCUCUGGUCCAAUCCACAGGCAAUGUCCAGUAUACUACUUUCUUUCUCUGCCCUGGACACUUCCAGAUGCCUCUGGCUGUACUUCCUCCCAUAUCUACACACAAACACACAUACUAAAACAAAAACAACAAAAACAAACAAACAACCAAACCAAACAACCAGCCAAACAACCAGGCAAGCAAACAAAAAC